rnacentral:rRNA from 1 species
GGUAAUACGUAGGUGGCAAGCGUUAUCCGGAUUUAUUGGGCGUAAAGGGAACGCAGGCGGUCUUUUAAGUCUGAUGUGAAAGCCUUCGGCUCAACCGGGGAAGGUCAUUGGAAACUGGGAGACUUGAGUGCAGAAGAGGAGAGUGGAAUUCCAUGUGUAGCGGUGAAAUGCGUAGAUAUAUGGAGGAACACCAGUGGCGAAGGCGGCUCUCUGGUCUGUAACUGACGCUGAGGCUCGAAAGCGUGGGGAGCAAACAGG